rnacentral:rRNA from 1 species
AGUAUCGCAUGAUAUAGCAAUUAAAAGGAAGCAAUUCGCUAUAAGAUGGACCGCGUCGCAUUAGCUAGUAGGUGGGGUAACGGGCUCACCUAGGCGACGAUCCCUAGCUGGUCUGAGAGGAUGACCAGCCACACUGGAACUGAGACACGGUCCAGACUCCUACGGGAGGCAGCAUG